GCUGAAACAAAGCCCUGUACCUAGCCCAGGUGAGAGUUACCUAUGUAUAUUACAAAUCCCAUCACCAUUGGACCUCACUGGCUGGGACUAAUGGGAGUUGGAGUCUGACAACCUCUGUAGAACCAAUGUUUUCCCAUCCUCCAUAUAAAAAUAAUGUGUCAAAAUUUUUGAUGUCUGACCUUCAGUACCUGUUUACUGCUUGCAUGGAAGCAUACUGGAUUCUUUCCCUUUAUUCCCUGCCUUCUGCUAUAAUUGCUUUCCCUUGUUCACAACCUAGUAAAUAAUAUAUGUUCACAUUAGAGUGUUUGUCCCUUUGGGAGGAACUUCCAUUCACCUCAUUCUUUCCCCCCCCCCUCCAGACAUGCUACUGUGUGUGACACUAUGAGAUAAAGAGAGUAAACAAGCAGGUUUCAGCUUGAAUGAUUGCCAUUGCUCAAAACCACAAUCUAUGUGUACUCCUGCUUUACGAAAAACGAGAUGAUCUCGGUCAGUACCUCUUGGUAAUUAUAACUGUACUCCUUUACAACCUCUCAUAUACGAAGCAUAAAACACAUCGCAGUCGCUGCCUACCUACAUUUUACAGAUUGUGAUCCAUGGAGGUCAGGUCCCUGUGUUUACAUGGUUGCUUAUCCUGAAAUAACAACCAGAAAUAACAACCUGCUCCUGUUUUUUCAAGAUAAUGUGUUUCAGCCUUUCAUCAUUUGCUCGUUCAGAAGUGAGUUAAAUCUGUAAUCCUUGGCAAGAUUCGUGGCUUUGGAGUCACCUCUCCAUUGUCCCAGGGUAUAUCAUUAUGUAACUGAUAACAGGAUUGUUCCCAUUGAAGGCUGAAAGGUGCAACAUAUGGAGAUACAUUGCGACUUGCCAUCAGUGCUAGAGAGUCAGCAAGAGUGUGCUGCUAAAAUGUUUAUUGACUCCCUAGGUACAAAUCUUAGAAUAGCAGCCUCUGAAUGUUGAACAAAUUCAAAGUACCAUAGAAAAGGUGGCAAGCUAGUGGUGUGUGUUUGUGUGUGUGUAAAUGCUGAUGAUAUGCAAUGUCCAGACUCUUUAUAUUUAAAAUAACUUUACUCUCAUAAAUGUAUAACUGAGAAGGACAUAGCUACACUCUCAUGCUUAUUCACUUUGUUUGUUAUAGAGAGCACAGGUUUCUUCCUAUUAACAUUUAGGGAUCUUCCUUUGUCUGCUUUAUCCUAGGCAGACCACCCUCAGCAGAAUCUGGCGAAGCCUCUCUCAGCAGCCAUUCUCCGUCAUUCAGAGAAAAACAGAAAACAGUUAAAAACAACAGUUACUUGAAUAACAGUCACAACAGAAUGGAAUGCCUCUCAUAUGAUUCACAGUCAGCCAAUCACAUGAGAGAGCUAAUGCCAAAGGAAAAACCCCAUGCUUAAAAUACACAGCAAUUCAGCCAAGGCAACAUUCCCAUUUCAGGAAAUCAAACCAUUAUCCUUAACAGUUAGUGUCUACUGGGUUUGGAGGUUUGGAUAAAGUAAACCACUCAUCAACCUUUGUCAUAGCCACUUUAUCAAGUUUCUCAUUAGGAAAGUAGUAGUGUUACAUUUACAAUGUGAUCUUCAGUAUUGUAGGUUUUCAUUGUCGUUAUCAUGAACUGUCACUAUUAACCAAAGUGCUUUCUGGCUUUAUUCACAAAACUGCUCUCCCCACAGUUUCUAGUGCCAAUUGGAGCCGAAUGGGAUGUGUUAAUAGGCUAAGGAUGUAAUCCAAAGGACAACUAUUUAGUUCCAAGGCAGAGAAAGCCAGCAUACAUCCAUUGUCCCUUACCAGCCCUAAGCAGUCAGUGGAGGAUAGAUAUUUUUUAAGAAUGUGACUGCUCUUAUGAUUUUAUGCAACUGACUUCAGAGUGGACUGCAUAUGCAAACCAAAUAAUGUUUUCCCAGGGAAAUCAAUAUUCAAAGCAAUGCAGCAAAACUAAGACUAGAAUAAAUGGCAUUCCCUUUCUGAAAUGUUGCAUCCCUGCCCCAUUAAAAGAGGCAAUAAGCCCAAGGACAUAGGGAGCCACUUGAUAAUCUUACCAUGCAGUGUCUACAAAAUAUUCCCUGCAGUGUGGGAUUGUCCAAAGCUACACAUGCCACAUGCUGAGUGCUGAACAGGAAAACUAGCCACUGCUCACUGAAGUAGUCUGGGGGUUGGAGGGAAGAGAGCAGUGUGCUGACCUGUUAACAAGUCCAUAUUUGAGAGAUCAGUUGCAACCUUUUGAAAUAUGAUACUCCCAGAAACUACAAUUAAUCCAGAAUGCAGCAUCUAGACUGGCGACUCAGAGUGGCUGCCGAGACCAUAUAACACCAAUACGACUUUAUCUGCAAUUUUUUUUGCAAAAUCAUUGCAGGAGAUCUUGGGGUCCUCACCAGAUGCUGAUGGCAAAGGUGGUUCCGUUAGAUUGCCAACCACCUGAAAGAGCCUCCUGCUGCUGUUUUCUGCAGAUGCAAUACAGACGGUGAAGAAGGUCCCCUUUGCCAUUGCUAUUGCCACUUGGUAGGCUCAACAUUGAGCUCUAACCUGUGUUUGGUCCAAUUCAGAAUGAGGUUUCCUCUACUGGCGCUCUAUCCAUCUCAGCGAUUUUUUCAUCGCCCUCAGCUCCAGGGAAAAACAUGGGGUUGUCCGGGCUCCAUGCAAUUGGAGAGGGCACUUUGGAGCCAGACAGUCAAUAGCCCUGGUUAACUCUGCAUUCCAGCAGGCCACCACGGAAUCAGCUUAAUGGCCAUCAACAUGGGAUAAAACACUCCUUACCACUCUUUGGAAACCAUUUGCAUCCAUUAAAUGGUUGGGGCGGGCCAUCCAAAUCGACCCCAACUCUCUGCAGAGAGGAAGGGUCACAGAGAAGUCCAGUUGCACCAGGAAAUGUUUAUAUAAAUGCAAGUCCGUGGCUAAAUCCGAUGCUGUAACUUCUAUGGAAACAGCUCAUGAAUCAAUUAAUGAUUCAUGAUAACUAUUGAUAUAAUUAUAGUUUAUCACUGUCUGCAAUUCUAUGUACUGUUUUGUGUGAAUUCAGAAAGAAGUAUAUUUAAAAUAUUUCUAAAAUGAGAACAUUUGUUAUCAUAUUCAAGAUUGCAUUUAUUAGCUGGCAUGUUUAAAAUCUGAUCUUUAUUUCAAUUAGAUAGGGAACUUUUGAAUUAUUGACUGACGUACAGUGCAUAUACAGUGGUAGGGUAUAAUCAAUGAUAGGAACACUUUGUGGCCUGUUACAUAUAAAGACAGAAGGUCAGAGUUGUGCAUUAACAGGGACAAUUAGAGCUUUCUCGAACAUUCAGCCAUUUCAAACAUGGCUGUGAGUUCAGCAGCAAUAACAGCUUUUAGCAAUGCAUAGCUUUCACAAAGAAACAAGGAUUUAUUAAUUGAAUUACAUGGAGUCAAGGACCCAUGUAUCUGGCUGAGAAAAGCAGAGCACUUUUUAGAAAAAAUGUUUUGUACUAUGUAUGGAACAAGAGACAUUUAAUUCUCUUUUGCUCCUGCUCCUGCUCCCUCUCCCUCUCCCUCCCUCCCCUCUCUCUGUGUAUAGAUAGAUGAUGAUAGCUAGAUAGAUGAUAGAUAGAUAGAUGAUAGAUAGAAUCUUAUUUUGUUCUAUUAAUUUCUGUUUUGUGUUAUAGAAGGAAAUGAUUCCUAUUAAAUAAUGUGGAGGUCUUUCUAGAGGGUUUUUUUAACAGUAGUUUGCAUAGUAAGCUUAAGUAGUGCUUUUGUUCUAUAAGACCACUGAAGGCAGUUUUUAAAAAGUCAUUUGGAAAGAUUCAGAUUGAAUAAAACUGUCAAAUGGCACCAUUCAAACUUGAAAUGAGUGUAUGCCUUACAUACUCUGCAGAAAAGGUCUCAUUAGAUACACACACACACACACACACACACACACACAAAUACCCAUCAGGUUUAUUGCAAGAUCACUUAGAAAACCAGCUUAGGCAUUACCUUUCGUGAAAGCAUCAUGCUGCACAUACAUGACAGGUCAAGGUACUUGAAUUAUUUUCCUUUAAAAAACCAACCAAGUUUCUGAUGGAAUGUGGCACCUAUAUUCACCAUUUAAUCUUCUGCUGAGAUUGUUCUCCAUGUAGUAUUGCAAUCUCCAUCCCUACAAAGGUGUGAGACCAAAUACCCCCCUCACAUUUGACAUAUGGAGGAGAAUCAUUCUCAGCAGUGGUGGCCCGACUGUGGAAGGGCUGUGUGGCCUUCUUUCAUUGAAACAUUUGCACAUGAGCCUCAGAAGCAAGGUAAUGACACC